UGUUCCAGCUCUGUUCCUGGGUGCAGGGGUAGGAUCUGGGCUCCUUGUGCUGCUGUUACUGCUGACAGGAGGAGUGCUGAAGUGUCUGCAAUCCAAACGAGACCCUGCUGUCCAGAUUGAACCUAUGUAUGCCACAGUGAAUAUGUCCAAGCAGCCUUCAAAACAACAGGACGACACCCUCACCUACUCAGAAAUAAACACUGCCCGUGUCACCAAGAAGAAACCCAGAUCUGAACCUGAAGACAAUGUAACAUACGCAACAGUUAAAACUGCCACAUACUGAGAACCACUGGAAAAAACUGCUUGAGUGUUUGAAAAAUACCUGAAUAGUCAUUGCAUUAAAAUGGUCUUUCCCUUUUAUCUACAUACUCUCUGCUUUCAUAGGAAUGGGAAAAUAACUGGAAACUGCAAAAUUAAAGUGCAACCAUUAUUAACUUUUUAAAACUGUUGAAAGAAGGUAUGUUGAAUGAUUCCUGGUCUAUCAUUUUAUAUUCGGUGUGUGUCAGGUUAGAACACAUAUGUGAAGUUUAGUGGGCUCAACUUAGCCCCCC